GUUUGUUUGUUUCUUUAAAAAGCUCCUCUUUGGCUAGUAUACUCGCAAUAACCCAUUUCCUUUGUUGUCUGAAAGCAAAAGUCCUGCAGGCACUGUAAAUCUUCAUUUGCCAUUUAAAUUCAUUUGCUUUACAAUGCAACGUCUCGUUCUGACAGAGCUUUCCAGGUCACUGUUUAUUUGCCCAUCUAUGCAUGUACACGCACGAACUUUCCUCCAGGCUCCUGCGGGGCUAACGCCGAAGCCGCCGACACGACGGGCCGCCCGAGAGGUAGCGGGGACGCGUCCCGCGGUUCCGCGCCACGCACACGCCGGGGCGAGGGCUGUGUCCGCACGGCACACGCUGUCAGCCCGCAAAAAGCCCGCUUUCGGUAACUCUAGGUGCUUGCCAGUGAUGCUACAGACAGAAGCAAGCAAUGGCAGGAGGGAGCGCGAGCUUUCCGGUGGAACACGUGACAGCGGGAUCUGCUCCAGGAGUCUCAGCCGGGACAUCUCUGAACUGGAUUGGACAAUCUUGAUGACUCAGUUGUUUAGAGAACAGUAAUUAUGCAUUUUGAUGCAUCUGAAAUUACGUGAAGCUGUACUGCAGCCUGUGGAAAUGGCGCUCUCCUAGCAUGAAAAUGAGGGCAUCUGAAUCUCAACUAAGCUUCAUCCUCCUUUCAUAGGCAAGAAGCAGCACCUCCAGAGAACAAUUUAUGUGACAUAUUCCAGACAAUAAAAUCUUAAAAUAAGAUCA